rnacentral:rRNA from 1 species
CCUACGGGAGGCAGCAGUGAGGAAUAUUGGUCAAUGGGCGCGAGCCUGAACCAGCCAAGUCGCGUGAGGGAGGACGGCCCUACGGGUUGUAAACCUCUUUUGCCGGGGAGCAACGGGCGUCACGUGUGGCGCCACUGCGAGUACCCGGAGAAAAAGCAUCGGCUAACUCCGUGCCAGCAGCCGCGGUAAUACGAGGGAUGCGAGCGUUAUCCGGAUUUAUUGGUUUUAAAGGGUGCGUAGGCGGAUCGUUAAGUCAGUGGUCAAAUUGAGGGGCUCAACCCCUUCCCGCCAUUGAAACUGGCGUUCUUGAGUGGAAGAGAAGUAUGCGGAAUGCGUGGUGUAGCGGUGAAAUGCAUAGAUAUCACGCAGAACCCCGAUUGCGAAGGCAGCAUGCCGGCUUCCGACUGACGCUGAAGCACGAAAGCGUGGGGAUCGAACAGGAUUAGAUACCCCAGUAGUC